ensembl:lncRNA
GACCAUGAUGACACAACCUACCAUGUUGUACACGCAGCCUGUGAUGAUGCCGCCUAACCCUUUUGGCUCAAUCACAGGAGUGCAGCCCUCAACUGCCUCUAGUCCCUCAAGUCAGAGUUCUCUCAUGCCACCAGGACAGGACCCCUUUGCACAGCUUUCUCUCAAGGAGUUCCUUUAGGGACACUUUUAGAUGCAGUUCAUGUGAAGCGAGCGUUGGCUCCCUGAGGACGAAUCACACGGUCUCCAAUCUCAAACCUUUAAUCUGUCCCCAGUUCGCUGUUUGACUCCGCGCUCAAAGCGUGGCCCCAACACAGGAAACUGACCCGGACAGGUAAC